rnacentral:rRNA from 1 species
GACGAACGCUGGCGGCGUGCUUAACACAUGCAAGUCGAGUGGUAAGGCCCUUUCGGGGGUACACGAGCGGCGAACGGGUGAGUAACACGUGGGUGACCUGCCCUCAGCUCUGGGAUAAGCCUGGGAAACCGGGUCUAAUACUGGAUAUGACUCCAUGACGCAUGUUGUGGGGUGGAAAGCCUUGUGCGGCUGAGGAUGGGCCCGCGGCCUAUCAGCUUGUUGGUGGGGUGANGGCCUACCAAGGCGACGACGGGUAGCCGGCCUGAGAGGGCGACCGGCCACACUGGGACUGAGACACGGCCCAGACUCCUACGGGAGGCAGCAGUGGGGAAUCUUGCGCAAUGGGCGAAAGCCUGACGCAGCGACGCCGCGUGAGGGAUGACGGCCUGGU